UUCUAUCAACUCCCUCUCUCUGGCUGUCUUGUUACAAAGUUUCUACAGCCAGAGAGAGGGAGUUGAUAGAAGCUUUGUAACAAGACAGCUAGAGAGAGGGAGUUGAUAGA
rnacentral:pre_miRNA from 1 species